rnacentral:rRNA from 1 species
CCUAGUAGUCCACGCCGUAAACGAUGAGAACUAAGUGUUGGAGAGAUUCAGUGCUGCAGUUAACGCAAUAAGUUCUCCGCCUGGGGAGUAUGCACGCAAGUGUGAAACUCAAAGGAAUUGACGGGGGCCCGCACAAGCGGUGGAGUAUGUGGUUUAAUUCGAAGCAACGCGAAGAACCUUACCAGGCCUUGACAUGGAUAUAAAUGUUCUAGAGAUAGAAAGAUAGCUAUAUAUCACACAGGUGGUGCAUGGUUGUCGUCAGCUCGUGUCGUGAGAUGUUGGGUUAAGUCCCGCAACGAGCGCAACCCUUGUCUUCUGUUACCAGCAUUAGGUUGGGGACUCAGGAGAGACUGUCGGUGACAAACCGGAGGAAGGUGGGGAUGACGUCAAAUCAUCAUGCCCCUUAUGGCCUGGGCUACACACGUACUACAAUGGCGCCUACAAAGAGCAGCGACACCGCGAGGUGGAGCGAAUCUCAUAAAGGGCGUCUCAGUUCGGAUUGAAGUCUGCAACUCGACUUCAUGAAGUCGGAAUCGCUAGUAAUCGCAGAUCAGCAUGCUGCGGUGAAUACGUUCUCGGGCCUUGCACACACCGCCCGUC